AUUGAACGCUGGCGGCAUGCUUUACACAUGCAAGUCGAACGGCAGCGCGGGCUUCGGCCUGGCGGCGAGUGGCGAACGGGCGAGUAAUGCAUCGGAACGUGCCCAGUAGUGGGGGAUAGCCCGGCGAAAGCCGGAUUAAUACCGCAUACGACCUGAGGGUGAAAGCGGGGGAUCGAAAGGCCUCGCGCUAUUGGAGCUGCCGAUGUCGGAUUAGCUAGUUGGUGUGGUAAAGGCUUACCAAGGCGACGAUCCGUAGCUGGUCUGAGAGGACGACCAGCCACACUGGGACUGAGACACGGCCCAGACUCCUACGGGAGGCAGCAGUGGGGAAUUUUGGACAAUGGGGGCAACCCUGAUCCAGCCAUGCCGCGUGCGGGAAGAAGGCCUUCGGGUUGUAAACCGCUUUUGUUCGGGAAGAAAUACUCUGGGCUAAUACCCCGGGGGGAUGACGGUGCCGGAAGAAUAAGCACCGGCUAACUACGUG
rnacentral:rRNA from 1 species